rnacentral:sRNA from 1 species
UCCUUUUUUCUUCUUUCCGGCGUUCAAAAUGUCGAAGCGAGGACGUGGUGGGUCCUCUGGUGCGAAAUUCCGGAUUUCCUUGGGUCUUCCAGUAGGAGCUGUAAUCAAUUGUGCUGACAACACAGGUGAGGUCUUUGCACGUUGCCAUACUCCCCCUUUUAAAAGCACUCAGUGGGCCUGUGGCUAAUGACCUAUUGAGCCGUCAAAAAGGGGAGAGUGAAAACAUCGCUUUUGGGUGAAGUGGCAACAUGUGUUGUUUGCUUCAAUCGGUGGUGUGACAAGGCGUUCUUGGGGACUACCUGCUUGGGCAGUGAGUGGAGGGAGGGGCUUUGGAAGUGUUUGGGAAAUGUUAUACUGAUGGAACGGCCUGAUUGGCCCUCAACAUUUUUUAUUUUUAUUUACAUUCUUUUGUAGGAGCCAAAAACCUGUAUAUCAUCUCCGUGAAGGGGAUCAAGGGACGGCUGAACAGACUUCCCGCUGCUGGUGUGGGUGACAUGGUGAUGGCCACAGUCAAGAAAGGCAAACCAGAGCUCAGAAAAAAGGGUGAGC